GUAGGUGAACCUGCGGAAGGAUCAUUACCUAGAGUUGUAGGCUUUGCCUGCUAUCUCUUACCCAUGUCUUUUGAGUACCUUCGUUUCCUCGGCGGGUCCGCCCGCCGAUUGGACAAUUUAAACCAUUUGCAUUUGCAAUCAGCGUCUGAAAAAACUUAAUAGUACAACUUUCAACAACGGAUCUCUUGGUUCUGGCAUCGAUGAAGAACGCAGCGAAAUGCGAUAGGUAGUGUGAAUUGCAGAAUUCAGUGAAUCAUCGAAUCUUUGAACGCACAUUGCGCCCCUUGGUAUUCCAUGGGGCAUGCCUGUUCGAGCGUCAUUUGUACCUUCAAGCUCUGCUUGGUGUUGGGUGUUUGUCUCGCCUCUGCGCGCAGACUCGCCUCAAAACAAUUGGCAGCCGGCGUAUUGAUUUCGGAGCGCAGUACAUCUCGCGCUUUGCACUCAUAACGACGACGUCCAAAAGUACAUUUUUACACUCUUGACCUCGGAUCAGGUAGGGAUACCCGCUGAACUUAAGCA
rnacentral:rRNA from 1 species